AUUGAACGCUGGCGGCAGGCCUAACACAUGCAAGUCGAACGAGUGGCGGACGGGUGAGUAAUGUCUGGGAAACUGCCUGAUGGAGGGGGAUAACUACUGGAAACGGUAGCUAAUACCGCAUACCAUCAGAUGUGCCCAGAUGGGAUUAGCUAGUUGGUGGGGUAACGGCUCACCAAGGCGACGAUCCCUAGCUGGUCUGAGAGGAUGACCAGCAAAACGGGAACUGAGAAAGGUUCCAGAUUCCAACGGGGGGAAGAAGUGGGAAAUAUUGAACAAUGGGGGAAAGCCUGAGGAAGCAAUGCCGGGUGUAUGAAGAGGGCCUUCGGGUUGUAAAGUAUUUCAAGCGGGGAGGCGUUACCCGAAGAAGAAGAACCGGCUAACUCCGUGCAAGAAGCCGCGGAAUAC
rnacentral:rRNA from 1 species